AAACUCCACACAGUUCUCCACCGACACCUGGCAAAGGCACAAGGAAGACGAUAAUCACACACUUCUUAACCGAGGCCUGAUGCUGUCAAACCCGCUGAGAUCCGGCAGCACUUCGGGUUGAGGAAAGUGGAUGAGAAAGUGGGAAAACGUAGAACUCGUGUGAACAGGUGAUCGAUGGUCGGCGUGGACUCAGUGGGCUAAAGGACCUGGGAGCCUGGGAUCUCUAGAUGAGAUCACCAGUUGUGGAGCUCCAACCGGCGCGGCCUUGUUGGCUUCGGAAGCCAUGGCCUCCAGUACGGAAGCGGCCAUUCCAGGGUUCCCAAGCCGCUGAGAGGAUUCUCCCGACGCCGGAGCAACAUCACCCGGCGAGGACAGCCUGGAACAUCGGGCCUCCGUAGAGGCAACUGUGGAGGCCUCAAUGGGCCCCACUAUGGGUGAACUGGGGUUGGGGACUGGACUUUGUGCCUUCCCUCAUAAUGCGAACCAUUGUGGGGGGAUGUUCUUUAUGUUUAAAACUCUUAUUAAUGUUAUGUCUGUAUUCCUUCUUUAUGUGCUGCAAAAUGGCAAGAAGCAUUUCACUUCACUACACCUAGGUGUAUG